rnacentral:tRNA from 1 species
AAGUUUAGGUUAACUUAAACCAAGGACCUUCAAAGCCCUAAAUAGGGACAUAACCCCCUAACUCCUG